rnacentral:rRNA from 1 species
GAUGAACGCUGGCGGCGUGCCUAAUACAUGCAAGUCGAGCGAACGGACGAGAAGCUUGCUUCUCUGAUGUUAGCGGCGGACGGGUGAGUAACACGUGGAUAACCUACCUAUAAGACUGGGAUAACUUCGGGAAACCGGAGCUAAUGCCGGAUAAUAUUUUGAACCGCAUGGUUCAAAAGUGAAAGACGGUCUUGCUGUCACUUAUAGAUGGAUCCGCGCUGCAUUAGCUAGUUGGUAAGGUAACGGCUUACCAAGGCAACGAUGCAUAGCCGACCUGAGAGGGUGAUCGGCCACACUGGAACUGAGACACGGUCCAGACUCCUACGGGAGGCAGCAGUAGGGAAUCUUCCGCAAUGGGCGAAAGCCUGACGGAGCAACGCCGCGUGAGUGAUGAAGGUCUUCGGAUCGUAAAACUCUGUUAUUAGGGAAGAACAUAUGUGUAAGUAACUGUGCACAUCUUGACGGUACCUAAUCAGAAAGCCACGGCUAACUACGUGCCAGCAGCCGCGGUAAUACGUAAGUGGCAAGCGUUAUCCGGAAUUAUUGGGCGUAAAGCGCGCGUAGGCGGUUUUUUAAGUCUGAUGUGAAAGCCCACGGCUCAACCGUGGAGGGUCAUUGGAAACUGGAAAACUUGAGUGCAGAAGAGGAAAGUGGAAUUCCAUGUGUAGCGGUGAAAUGCGCAGAGAUAUGGAGGAACACCAGUGGCGAAGGCGACUUUCUGGUCUGUAACUGACGCUGAUGUGCGAAAGCGUGGGGAUCAAACAGGAUUAGAUACCCUGGUAGUCCACGCCGUAAACGAUGAGUGCUAAGUGUUAGGGGGUUUCCGCCCCUUAGUGCUGCAGCUAACGCAUUAAGCACUCCGCCUGGGGAGUACGACCGCAAGGUUGAAACUCAAAGGAAUUGACGGGGACCCGCACAAGCGGUGGAGCAUGUGGUUUAAUUCGAAGCAACGCGAAGAACCUUACCAAAUCUUGACAUCCUUUGACAACUCUAGAGAUAGAGCCUUCCCCUUCGGGGGACAAAGUGACAGGUGGUGCAUGGUUGUCGUCAGCUCGUGUCGUGAGAUGUUGGGUUAAGUCCCGCAACGAGCGCAACCCUUAAGCUUAGUUGCCAUCAUUAAGUUGGGCACUCCAAGUUGACUGCCGGUGACAAACCGGAGGAAGGUGGGGAUGACGUCAAAUCAUCAUGCCCCUUAUGAUUUGGGCUACACACGUGCUACAAUGGACAAUACAAAGGGCAGCGAAACCGCGAGGUCAAGCAAAUCCCAUAAAGUCGUUCUCAGUUCGGAUUGUAGUCUGCAACUCGACUACAUGAAGCUGGAAUCGCUAGUAAUCGUAGAUCAGCAUGCUACGGUGAAUACGUUCCCGGGUCU